CCCCUCUCAGGAUCACACCUGGAGAGUUUCCAGUAUUCUACCAGUCUCGGUUACAAGAGGGAGAGUCAAGCAGAGACCUACCCAUUCCACUCCUAGCUUGGAUAGUGGCUAGUGAGUGGAAGGCAAUCUGUUACACAU